rnacentral:rRNA from 1 species
GCCCGCUCAGAAACUCAAAGGAAUUGACGGGGGCCUGCACAAGCGGUGAGCAUGUGGUUUAAUCGAAGCAACGCGCAGAACCUUACAGCGUUUGACAUGGUAGGACGACUGGCAGAGAUGCCUUUCUUCCCUUCGGGGACCUACACACAGGUGCUGCAUGGCUGUCGUCAGCUCGUGUCGUGAGAUGUUGGGUUAAGUCCCGCAACGAGCGCAACCCUCGACUUUAGUUACCAUCAUUAAGUUGGGUACUUUAAAGUAACCGCCGGUGAUAAGCCGGAGGAAGGUGGGGAUGACGUCAAGUCCUCAUGGCCCUUACGCGCUGGGCUACACACGUGCUACAAUGGCAAGUACAGUGGGCAGCAAUCCCGCGAGGGUGAGCUAAUCUCCAAAACUUGUCUCAGUUCGGAUUGUUCUCUGCAACUCGAGAGCAUGAAGGCGGAAUCGCUAGUAAUCGCGGAUCAGCAUGCCGCGGUGAAUACGUUCCCAGGCCUU